GUCUCUUCUGAGACAUAUGAUAAAAUUGGAACAAUACAAAGAAGAUUAGCAUUGGUCCCUGCACAAGAAUGACACACAAAUCGAGAAAUGGAAUAAUUUUUG
rnacentral:snRNA from 1 species